GACGAACGCUGGCGGCGUGCUUAACACAUGCAAGUCGAACGGAAAGGCCCUGCUUUUGUGGGGUGCUCGAGUGGCGAACGGGUGAGUAACACGUGAGUAACCUGCCCUUGACUUUGGGAUAACUUCAGGAAACUGGGGCUAAUACCGGAUAGGAGCUCCUGCUGCAGGGUGGGGGGUGGAAAGUUUCGGCGGGUGGGGAUGGACGCGCGGCUUAUCAGCUUGUUGGUGGGGUAGUGGCUUACCAAGGCUUUGACGGGUAGCCGGCCUGAGAGGGUGACCGGCCACAUUGGGACUGAGAUACGGCCCAGACUCCUACGGGAGGCAGCAGUGGGGAAUAUUGCACAAUGGGAGGAAGCCUGAUGCAGCAACGCCGCGUGCGGGAUGACGGCCUUCGGGUUGUAAACCGCUUUCGCCUGUGACGAAGCGUGAGUGACGGUAAUGGGUAAAGAAGCACCGGCUAACUACGUG
rnacentral:rRNA from 1 species